UUUUUCUUCUCUAGAGUGAACAUAAGAUAGCUGACUUUUAACCAUUCAAUGAAGAAAUUUAUCUUGAGUAAGGGGCAUAUAGACUAAUAAUGAACAUGUUCUUCCCAAAUGAGUUAUUAUCUUCUGGUGAAGAUCCUGCCUUUUACCUCUAUGAAUAAGAAGAGAAGAGAUCCACAUUGGAUUUGGUAAUUCCCCUGUGAUGAAGAAUAUGGCUAAUGCUUCACUGGGUAUUGAUCUGGGAAUAGAUAUUACUGCACAGAUAUUACUGCCAGUGAGUCAAUGAAUGGAUCAAUAAACAAAAGUAUAAAUGAAGAAAAAGUUUGCUUAUCUUGGAUCUAUGAUGAGUACCCUGGGGUGUCUGAAUCAAAGAUUUUGAUUAAACCCUAUAACUCUGAGGUCCAUUGCAAAAAGAUUCCUGUUCAUCAUCAUCAUAGGAAAAUGGACACACAAUAACCUAAUCAUUCUAUGGAUUGAGUGAGAAAGAUCUUGGUUAUUUUUUUGAAAAAUAUAUACAGAAACCUGUAAGUGGUCAUAUUUACUUUGUAUUCUACAGAAUGGACGCACAAUAAUCCAAUCAUUCUCUGGAUUGAGUGAGAAAGAUCUUGGUUAUUAUCUUUUUGAAAAAUAUAUAUAGAAACCUGUAAGUAGCAAAGUAAUUGCUUCUGGAUUGGUGAUUUUUAUGCAUGUUAAAUCUAUUAUUGCAAAGGAAUAA